AUGACUGAUCACGCAGAAAGAAUUUGUGAUCUGGAAGAAAAAACGGAAGAUUCUGAAAACAAGGCAGGUGAGCUUGAAAGAAAGAAAAGAGAUCUAGAAAACAAAACAGAUGAGCUUGAGAAAAAGAAAAGAGAUCUGGAAUACAAAACAGAUGAACUUGAAGAAAAAACGGAAAAUCUGGAAAGACAAACAAAAGAUCUGGAAUACAAAACAGAUGAGUUUGAAAGAAAGAAAAGAGAUCUGGAAAACAAAACAGAUGAGCUUGAAGAAAGAACAAAAGAACUGGAAAGCAGAACAGAUGAGCUUGAAAGAAAGAAAAGAGAUCUGGAAUACAAAACAGAUACGCUUGAAGGAAAAACAGAAAAUCUGGAAAGAAGAAUUCAGAAUAUGGAAGAUUUUGGCCCUGAUCUGAAGACUCAGACAGAAGUGAGGAUUGAAGAAGUGCUACUAAAACAUGAGAGUCCGUGUUUGCAACUGAUAGGAGUUCAUGAAGACCUCAAGUUUGACCAAAUUUAAAGCAGUCACACAGUUGAAAAAAGCCCAUUUGUGCAUAAACCUUGUAUUUCUAUAUCAUUUCUGUAUAAACCUUAAAAUCUUGACUGCAACAAAUGUGUAAUAGACAUGUUCAGAGUUACUGCACUGUUAAACACGUUAACCUUUUGUGUACAUUUUGUCACAGUGAAUGGGGUAAGUUGUCACAUUAAAACGUGAACUGUAAUAAUGUAUUGCAGUGUGUUUUGUGUGUGUUCUUGUGUUUACACAAAAGCUAUUACUAGUAGCCUGAACAAACAUUUCAGUUUUGAGGACAGAAUUUAACCUUAAACCUAACCCCACACAGCAUAAAACAUUGCUAGUGAAAACAAACAUUUAUUUACUUAAUACUUUUUUUGUUUUGUAAUGUUACUGUGACUUUUCCACUGGGACAACUUGCCCCGGUCCAUUUUGUAGUUGUGCUUAUAUUUGUAUCACAAGUUCAUUAAGUCAUAACUUCUGAUAGAGUUACACAACCCAAAUAAACAUGCAGAAUUAGCACA
ensembl:lncRNA